rnacentral:rRNA from 1 species
GGGACGAACGCUGGCGGCGUGCUUAACACAUGCAAGUCGAGCGGUAAGGCCUUUCGGGGUACACGAGCGGCGAACGGGUGAGUAACACGUGGGUGAUCUGCCCUGCACUCUGGGAUAAGCCUGGGAAACUGGGUCUAAUACCGGAUAUGACCUGCUCUCGCAUGGGGGGUGGGUGGAAAGAUUUAUCGGUGCAGGAUGGGCCCGCGGCCUAUCAGCUUGUUGGUGGGUAAUGGCCUACCAAGGCGACGACGGGUAGCCGACCUGAGAGGGUGACCGGCACACUGGGACUGAGACACGGCCCAGACUCCUACGGGAGGCAGCAGUGGGGAAUAUGCACAAUGGGCGAAAGCCUGAUGCAGCGACGCCGCGUGAGGAUGAAGGCCUUCGGGUUGUAAACCUCUUCAGCAGGACGAAGCGCAAGUGACGGUACCUGCAAGAAGAAGCACCGGACUAACUACGUAGCCAGCAGCCGC